GAUGAACGCUAGCUACAGGCUUAACACAUGCAAGUCGAGGGGCAGCAUGGUCUUAGCUUGCUAAGGCCGAUGGCGACCGGCGCACGGGUGAGUAACACGUAUCCAACCUGCCGUCUACUCUUGGACAGCCUUCUGAAAGGAAGAUUAAUACAAGAUGGCAUCAUGAGUCCGCAUGUUCACAUGAUUAAAGGUAUUCCGGUAGACGAUGGGGAUGCGUUCCAUUAGAUAGUAGGCGGGGUAACGGCCCACCUAGUCUUCGAUGGAUAGGGGUUCUGAGAGGAAGGUCCCCCACAUUGGAACUGAGACACGGUCCAAACUCCUACGGGAGGCAGCAGUGAGGAAUAUUGGUCAAUGGGCGAGAGCCUGAACCAGCCAAGUAGCGUGAAGGAUGACUGCCCUAUGGGUUGUAAACUUCUUUUAUAAAGGAAUAAAGUCGGGUAUGCAUACCCGUUUGCAUGUACUUUAUGAAUAAGGAUCGGCUAACUCCGUGCCAGCAGCCGCGGUAAUACGGAGGAUCCGAGCGUUAUCCGGAUUUAUUGGGUUUAAAGGGAGCGUAGAUGGAUGUUUAAGUCAGUUGUGAAAGUUUGCGGCUCAACCGUAAAAUUGCAGUUGAUACUGGGUAUCUUGAGUGCAGUUGAGGCAGGCGGAAUUCGUGGUGUAGCGGUGAAAUGCUUAGAUAUCACGAAGAACUCCGAUUGCGAAGGCAGCCUGCUAAGCUGCAACUGACAUUGAGGCUCGAAAGUGUGGGUAUCAAACAGGAUUAGAUACCCUGGUAGUCCACACGGUAAACGAUGAAUACUCGCUGUUUGCGAUAUACAGCAAGCGGCCAAGCGAAAGCGUUAAGUAUUCCACCUGGGGAGUACGCCGGCAACGGUGAAACUCAAAGGAAUUGACGGGGGCCCGCACAAGCGGAGGAACAUGUGGUUUAAUUCGAUGAUACGCGAGGAACCUUACCCGGGCUUAAAUUGCAGAUGAAUUACGGUGAAAGCCGUAAGCCGCAAGGCAUCUGUGAAGGUGCUGCAUGGUUGUCGUCAGCUCGUGCCGUGAGGUGUCGGCUUAAGUGCCAUAACGAGCGCAACCCUCGUUGUCAGUUACUAACAGGUUCCGCUGAGGACUCUGACAAGACUGCCAUCGUAAGAUGUGAGGAAGGUGGGGAGGACGUCAAAUCAGCACGGCCCUUACGUCCGGGGGUACACACGUGUUACAAUGGGGGGUACAGAGGGCCGCUACCACGCGAGUGGAUGCCAAUCCCAAAAACCUCUCUCAGUUCGGACUGGAGUCUGCAACCCGACUCCACGAAGCUGGAUUCGCUAGUAAUCGCGCAUCAGCCACGGCGCGGUGAAUACAAUCCCGGGCCUUGCACA
rnacentral:rRNA from 1 species